rnacentral:lncRNA from 1 species
AGGCAUGCAUGUAUAUACAAAUAUCUAGAUACAAAGCUUAACAGACUAAGUCAUUCAUGGGUUUAAAUAAGACUGUCUUUUUUCCUGAGGCUCCCUUUUCACCUAAAAAAUUAGUACAAUACCUACUUCUGCUUUUCUUCAGCUUAACUAUCCUCAAAUAUAUAAUGAUUCCCCUUCAAUUUCAUAAGCCUUCCAAAUAUGAGAAAAACUAGCAAAAUACACUCUUUUUUAUUUUAUUUUUUUUACAUUAAGUAUUAACAAAUCAAUGGUAUAAAAUUGAUGAUGGAUAAGAAGAGAUUUGCAAUAGUUAUAUAUUAUUAUGAAUUAUUUUAAUUGAUGCGAGAUUUUUAACACAUUCUUCUCACGUCACACGUCAAGAUCUAUCAAUUAGACUAUCAAUUAGAUUAUAUAUUAAAUGUUACAAUAACAAAUAAUUUGAUAAAGUGAACAUUUUUUGAUAAAAUUAGUUAAAAUUAAAAAGGACUCUAAUAUGUAGAUCUAUAACGACGCUAAACAAACUAAUAAAAACUAUUUAGUGAUUAGAAAAACAUGAUGCAUUUGAAACAUAAGAGAAUGGAUGUAUAGUUUACAAAACUCUAUGCAAAGUCUGACAUGAGAGAGUAAAGGAAGGAAACAUGAGCCAGAAUGACUUUCCAGCAAUACCCACAGAGAGCACAUGCCGGCAAGCCAUCCCGGCUCACAUCUACUCUCUCUACCGUCAUGCAAGACACUUGAGAGCAACCUUCCUUCUUCACCUUCUUUCUUCACCCUCAUUCAACCCUAUUUAUAACCACACCAUGUCAAACUCAAAGGACAAUAACUUCACAAAUUACAACUACACACGUCUUAAAACUAAAACUAAA